AAAAAAAAACCUAAUCCCUUUCAUUUGAGGAAUGGAGAAAAACGGCAGAACAUUGAGACGGAUUCCCCAACCCCCACUGAAAAACCCUAGCGGCUCACAGACCCCUCUCCCUCUAAGACAACCAGCCGCCACCCGUUUCUUUCUACUUCUUCUUUCUACUCUUUCUCAUCGUACUUCAUCCAUUCAUAUACAUACGUUUACUUUGCUUGUCGAAAAAUGAUAUUCGAUCUAUGAAGUUCUAAAAUCAGAACAAAAGUCCAACGAAUUGAUCGUUAAUGGACGUGCCAACAUGUCCUUGAGCAGCUUGCUCGAUUUCUUUCUUCCUGAGGUUUCUCAAAGUCGUUUUGAGCUGUGGAAUCACUGUACUGUCGUUGCUGCUAAAUGAGCUAUUUACUUGCUGAGUUUGGUUGGGCUGUGUUGCUGAGUUUCAACUUUAUCCUAUUUUGUAUUUAUUUGGCUUUCUAAAAUGGUUCUUGCGCAACCAGGUAUUCAUUUGAACUCAUUUUUAUUUUGAAAAACAUGAAUUAAUCCUUCUGUUUCUCUAUGAAGUUUCAAAUCAUUGUUGUUUUUACAUAUUUGAAUCUUUUUCUGAGUAGUCUAUCGAUUAAUAAUAUAAAUUUAUUUAACUUCAGGGUGAUUUGCUUCUGUUUUAUUUGGGGACUUAAGUGUUGAAAAAAGCAGGAUUCUGUUGCUCUGGUUUCUGCUCCAUCAAAUUUCGUUGAUUGGUUAUGUUUUAAUAUAGUCAUGAAUCUGAUUAAUGUUAGAUAGGUAUGGAGUGUAAAUAGGCACAAAAAAAUUAAUAUCGAUAUAGAUAGCCUUCCCAUUUAACACUUGACUUUGUAUUGAAAGACUAAUGAAUUGCCUGAUGAUUCAUUUGGAAAUUAAAGUUGUAAUAACGGAAAGCCGUAGAUAUAUCAGAUUUGCGAAGCAGUUUGGUUGUAAUCAAUAGAGUGGUUGUAUGCGUAACAAGGUUCGAUAGAGUUGAUUGAUUGAUAGAAUGGCUAUUUGUGUAAUGGGCCUAGCUGUUUUAGAACAAGUCAAUGUUGUGAACCCAUAUAAUGGAGAUACUUUAUUUGCAAUUUCCUAAUCACAAUCCCAUGCUUCUAUUUACAUUAGAUAGUCAUGUGAUACUGGAUGAUUUGUAUCUUGUGAAUAUAAUUAGGAUUGGCCCUUUGUAAUUUCGUUUGAGUUAUAGCUUUCACGCUCUGAAUUUUAAGGGAGGCUAGUGAAUAAUCGACCUUCAAGGCACAGAUGAUGAAAACUUUCCUUGAAUCAAUCUUAGUAAAUACAUGCAGCUGGCUCCUAUGCCUUUUUAGCAUAAUGCUUAACAAUUGUCGAACAUUUCUGAUAGAAACAAAGCAUCCACCAAACUAUAUAGAGAACCAGGUUCUCUAUCUAUUCACACAGUAAAUCGGCAGUAAAUAGAGAACACAGAGGAAUUUUACAUGGAAAACUCCCAGAUCACGGGAUUAAAAACCACUGCCUACCGGUGUAGGAUUUCAACUUCACUACUGAGUAAUCUUCAGAUUACAACCUAUUGUAACCUAGGAAUUAACCGCUUAAUCCCUCACUAACUUAUAACUACACUAUUAGAAGCCACUUUGUAAUAACUCUAUUACAAAGACUUAAUCACUCACUAACUUGUAACAACACUAUUACAAGCCACUUUGUAAUAACUUUAUUACAAAGACUUCACAACUCGACUAACUCUAGCCAAGACACAAACACAAGGGUUUAUGAUUUACAAAGGGUUUCCUACAUAAUGCUUCUAAGUAAGCUAAGUAGGAAUUACAAGUCUGAGCUUCAACAAAGAUACAACACAACUAAGGACAUAUAAUAACUCAAUAUGGGGGUAUUGGUCUAUUGCUAUGUUGUUCUUUCUUCUUGAUGCCCUUGAGAAUCACUUGUAAGAUGGACACACAUUUGAGAGAAUGCUUGAUGAGUUCUUGAAUGUGCAAGUGAUUUGUUUUACCUUUGCUUGAUGUUAAUAUCUCAUUUGUGACAUCACUUGGAUGAUGUAAGCAAGGUAGGUAAAAAGCUUUCCACAGAAAGUUGACUGUUGCACUGUUCAUGUACUGUAGUAUGUGCAGGCAACAACUUUCCAACUGGAGAGUUGACUUCAUACAGUCACCUCAGGAACUGGUAGGGACCUGGUCCCUAAGCUGUUCCUUCCACUCUGAGGAGUUAAGCCAUAUCCAAACUGGAUCCCAACCGGGAACUUUGUGAUCUUAAGGUCUUGAGAAUGUUUAAAGCUGUAGAGUUGACUAUACGACGACCAGAUCUGUUGUUUCCUUAUCUGAUUUCGUUGAGAAUUGAACCAGACAUCUAACUAGUUACUCUGAAUGCAAGAGAACUAAUCGUAUCAGGUUCCUUAUCUUGUUCUCUCAUGAAGUUUGUCAAAUUAUCAAAACAAAAGACGCAUAACUUAUCCAUUUCCCCCUUCUUGAUGAUGAAAAACUUAGAAUUGUAAUUAGAAUUUAUAUCCCCCCGUGAGAACCAAAUCUCCACAUUGUCCCCGUAUGAAUUAGCCAUAUUCCCCAUGAGAACCAGCCCAAAGGAACUGAUCACAACUGGUUCUUCAAGAUUAUUUGGCAAAUCUUCAAAACACAAAAUAACAUAACUUAUCAAUUUCCACCUUUUUGAUUAUGACAAACCCAAAAUUAAUGUUCCCCUUGAGAACCAGAUUCCUCACAUGUUUCCCUGCAGAUCAGACCUUGAAUUAACAUGUUAUCAACAACGUUCCCCCUGCGAAGCAGAGCUAUCUUUCAUGCACAACACAACAUAUCAAAUUCGAUUCUAUUCCUCCCUCAUGCUGACACCUAUAUAACUUCCCCCUUUUGGCAUCAUUGAAAAGAAUAACAGAAGAAGCACAACCAAAAAGAAGUUCAGUAACAUUAACUCAGGCUACUUGGGCAACACAACAUAAACAAUAACAAGAACCACAAGUGAAUGUCAUUGCACAAAAUAGAGUAAUUGCCCAUAGUAGAGUAAUUAUAACAAAAACACAGUAGUUUCAACAAUACAGAAUAUGACAAUUUAAACAACUAAAGUACCAAUGUCAUCAAACAUAGGGAACAAAAGAAGAUAGGAAUUCGAGAGAAUUUGGAAGGAGUGAAAGGCAUGGAUCACUAGGCAGGAAGAAAAGUAAGGGGAUAAGGCUUUGAUGAGCUUGUCAAUUCGUUCAUUCACAAUCAUUUGAUCAAUGAUCAUCUGCUCUCUCAGUUCCUCCAUCUGUUUCCUCAAUCUUUCAUUCUCACCCUUCAACUUAGCAUUCUAUUCUGCCAAGGGUCCACGGGGACCUGGUUCUCUACCUUUCUGAGCAGGCUGAACCAUCAAUCAUAUCACCUAGAAUCUCCCCAAGCUUCUCCUUAUCAAGAACAAACUCAGUCUCAUACACACAUAGCAUCAAAGUAACACAUACAACAUAAAAGUUUUUACUUCUUCUUCAUAAACGUUGGGACUUGGAGGAACAAAGAGGUGAUUCUAUUUUUGGAUCUCAACAAUGUCAAGAAGUUCCUCCAGUUUUCAGUAAUAUCAUAUUCAACACUCUGCCUAACAACACUUUUUGAGAAAUCAGAGUCUUCUACCUCUCCAAACCUGAUAACUUAACCUUUUCCUUCUAUAAGGAAACAGGUUCCUCACUCACACUACCCUUUCUUUCCCUAAGCGGCCAUGUCCCUCUUCUUCUUCUCAAUCUGUUCACCCUUAUCAUCUAUUACAUCUUUCUUAGCCAACUUUAUUUUCUUAAUUUUUUUGAAUUCUUUCUCACAAAUGGAGAUUUUCCACUUCAUUCUCUUUUCCACAAUCAGCACAUCAGCAGGUCACACCACUUCAUCAUCAAUUAGCCUACUUUUCUCAAUCCUUUUUACUGGAUCAGAGAUUCGUUUAAGCAUAGAACCCAAGAGAAAAAAACCAUCAUCAGAAUUAGCAUCCUAAGAAGGAUUUGAGGGACCAGGUCCUUCAUUCAGUUCCCCCUUUUUCCGGCACAUUCACCAACUCCUCCAUCCUUCAAGGCUUCUACAAACCCAACAUCAAUUUCAGCCUCACUUUCCAAAAUAUUAGAUCUACCCCAUUCCUUUUCAGUUAAAGUCCCAUCAAAAUCUACCAAAGACUUCUUGGGUUUCGAUUCAGAUGUAGUUAGGAUUUUGGAAGGUGAAAGAGUUGGAUUCACUUCUGGCAUAUUUGGAGAGACGGAUUAUUUUUGAGUUAAGGUUGAUUUUUGAGGAAAAGAAUCGGUUAUGGUUGGGUGUGAGAGAAGGAAAUGGUUUUUCGGGGCAACAGGUCAGUUCAGAAAAGGUUUAACAUUUUGAACUUCAAAAUUUGGAGAGAGAUGGGAAUAAAUUAAUGACAUUAUAUUUCAGUAGUUUAAAAAGGUAUAUAAGUAUUUAAGAGACUACUAACCUGAGUCAUAAGAACAAGGUUCCUUGACGGUUUUUAAAAAUUUAAGCAAAGACUCCUAGAAGGGCAAUGUCACUCUUACUUGUUUUGUCCUGAAACUGCCAUGUAUGUAUACCAGUAAUAGUAUAGAUUUGAGUUAGAUGUCACCAAAAGACACUUUUUAGCGUUGUACCUUUCCUUCUUAACAUAGCCAAUCAUCGAGGGACCAGGUCCUUAGUUAAGCUGGAUAAACUUUCAAAGUGUUCACUGCUCAGCGCCUUAGUGAAGAUGAUUACUACCUAGUCCUCCGUCUUCCCGUACUUUAUAAUAAUUAGAACCUUUUCAAUAUUAUACCUCAAAAAGUGAUGUCGUACAUCAAUGCGCUUUGUCCUCUUGUAUUGUACCGGGUUCAAGCUGUAAAUACACCAAAGUCUUUAAGAUGUUGCUUGAUCUGUAGUAGUUGAACACAACAAGAAGCAACAACCAUGUAUUCAACUUCAUUAGUAGAAAGAGCCACAUAAUUUGUUUUUUUGUACCCCAUGAGAUCAAGCAUGACACUAGAAAAUGUGUCGUUCUAGAUGUGCUUUUUCUAUCUACUAGAUAUUCAACAUAAUCAACAUCAGCAUAUCCAACCAAGUCAAAAGAAUCUUCUGAAAAAUAGAUGAGGACCAGGUCCUGCUUUCCCUUAGGAUACCUCAAAACUCCCUUGGCACCCUUCAAGUGAGAGUGUUUUGGGCCAGGUUCCAAUCGCUGUUCUGUAUGAAGGCCUAGAGACCAGGUGCCACACUUGGUUCCUCUCAACUGAUGGAGUUCUUCUUGCAUAGAAGCUAUCCAGUUAGCAUUUUUCAAUGCUUCUUUGAUGUUCUUAGGCUCGAUUUGAGACAAGAACGUUGAGAGGGAAAACAUGUUCCUUGCCUUAGAACUAGGUUGAAUACCAGAGUCUAAGGAUGUGAUUACAUUUUGAAGGGAUGUGAACUCUUUUGCUUCUAGUUGGAUACUUGAACUUCAGAAUUUGAAGGACCAGAUUCCUCCAUAUGUGAAUCAUCAUUGACAUCAACAGAAUUAUGACUUCCACUCUUUUGUUCUACAUCAGGAGUACCUAAUGCAGCAUCAACAACCCUAUGUUCAGCUUAAUUCGAGGUGAUAGAGGGACCGAGUUCCUCUACACCUUUGGAGAUUCUACUGCAUCUCCUUCAUCGCUCUGCUUGACUCAUCAAAUCAGUCUUUCCAUUUGCACUAUCUGUAGCUUCACCAGGAGAAUUUGUGAAUUCUCCAUCUUCAUCUUCUUUGUUAUGUGUUUCCACCAUUGUUGAGAACACAACAUUUUGCAUCCAAAGGCUCUCGGGUAAGUUAGAUUGGGUUUUCUCCCAUUGAGCAGUUCAUAGAGAGACUUCUCGAGAAAGGACCUGAUCAUGCACUUGUUAAUCAAGUAGCAAGCAGUGUUGGUUGCUUCAGCCCAUGAACCAAGUCCUCCAUAAUCAACUUGUUCAACAUAUAAAAGCUCACAUGCCCCAGUCAUCUUCGACAUAACUCAGCAUCAUCAUCAAUGACACUUAGGCAUGUUAGAUCACCAUCAUUCAGUGAAUCAAGGUCUGCAACAUAGAUAUUCUUGAAUCUCUUAGCUAUCAAUACCAUUUCACCAGUUUUAAGAUUUUGUGAAAGUGCAAGAUUUGGACAAGAACUUCACUUUAUUUUUCCUUAUCACAGAUUUAAGACACAUUCAACAAGCUAUAUUUCAAGCCAUUCACAUAGUACACAUUUUUGAUUGCAUGAGAGAGUGUUUUGUCAAUUUUGCCACCACCAAGAAUAUAGCCUUCUUGUCAUUUCUAAAGGACACACUCCCACCUUGGAAGGCCUAGAGUGAGAGGAAAUUAUUCAUUCUUCUAAUCUAAUGCUUAGAGCAGCCACUAUCCAUGUGCCAUUUUUUUGACUGCUACCUCUCACUUCAGCCUGCACACUAAAUCAAUGAUUAGAAUUAGGAACCCAAGCCAGCUUGGGUCCCUUAUAAUGAUAGAACGGGCUGAUCAAACUUCUUUUUGCCCGCGCAGGCAGCACAUAUUUUCUUUUCAGGGAACCAGGUUCCUCAUCAAUAGGCCUCUUUCCAACAAAAACUUUGUUUUUUUUGUAAACGCUGAAUUUUAGUUUUACAAGAGUCCUUGUAAUGACCCAUUUGACCACAGUGAGUGCACAACCUAUUAUCAGCCUCAGUUACAUACUUGCUAUGGGGAUUACAGGAGGUUUUAGCCUUUUGGAACCCGAUUCCUUUCCUGUUUCCACCAUUACUCUUGUACAUAGACAUUAUUACAUCAGAGGACCAGGUGCAAUUAAGUGACUUAUCAAGAUCAUUUUUAACCCUUUUCAAAUCCUCUUGAAGUUGUCUAUUUUUUUCAAGCUCAACAAUAAGACUUGUUUUAACUUUCUUAAGCUCACUCUUAAGCUCAAGUCAAGCCUCACUAGCCACUUCUUUACCCUUAGUGCUGUCCAUCCAUUUUUUCGUUUGGUUUUUAAACAAGUUAGUUUCUCUAGUUACUUCUUCCACUUGUUCCUUCAAAUCUACAAUGGAAACUACCAUAUUAUCCCUCUCUUGUUCCAUGUCACCAAUUUCUUCUACUAAAGCAUUUUUCUCAUUAAUGAGGCUAUGAUAGGCAUCAAUCAACACAUUUGCUAAGGACAUCAAUUUUUUGUUUGAGUAAGUUUUCAAAUUUUUUUGAACAUCAAGAAAACUUAUCUCAUCUUCCUCCUUAUCCUCAUCAUCAUCAGAUUUGGCCAUAAGUGCAAAGAUUGACUCAUAUUCUGAAGAUCCAUUAUUAGCAACCAUCAUAUAUGUAUCCCCUUGGUCAUCUUCACCUUCAGAUUCACUAGAAGAAUUUCCCCAGUCAGCCAAAGCUUGUUCACCAUGUUGUCACCAACAUCUCUUCUUUUGAACUUCCUAUCAGAGACCUCCUUUCUCUUAGCCACCUUAUCAAUGUUGGUUUUAUAAUGAUCCUACUUAUGAAGAGGACAAUCUUUAAUAAAGUGUCUAGACUUUCCACACUUAUGACAAAAAUCAUUUUCUUUGAAAUUCCUGCUGGAACUUCCUUUCUUUGGAAUCCCACCAUUUUUUUGAAUCAUCUUUUGGAAUCUUCAAGUGAGAUACUCCAUGUCGGAUUCAUCACUACUUGAGUCUUUGUUGGCAUCCUUGAGAACCAGGUUCUUCUCCUUCUUGGGCUCUCUUAUUUCAAGAUCCUUCUUUCUCUUCAUCUCAUAAGUUUUGAGAUUUCCAGUGAGUUCAUCAAUAGUCAGCUUCUGCAAAUCCUUGGCUUCUGUGAUAGCAUUCACUUUACUUUCCCAAGAACCUGGUAAAACACUGAGUAUUUUCCGAACCAACUUGUUCUUGGGAUGAUUUCACCAAAGGAGUGAAGCUCAUUGAUAAUGGAGGUGAAAUGUGUGUGCAUAUCUUGAAUAGACUCAUCCUCCUUCAUCUUGAAAAGCUCAUACUCAGUAGUAAGCAUAUCAAUUUUGGAUUGAUUAACCUGAGUAGUUCCCUCAUGGGUAGUUUGAAGAGCUUCCCAAAUCUCCUUAGCAUACUAACAAGCUGAGAUGCAGUUGUACUCAUCUGGUUCGAUGCCGUAAACAAGAAUCUUCUUUGCCCUGAAAUUCUUCUCAAUAUCCUUUCUAUAAGCAUCGUUGUACUAUUUUCUUGUUUUUGGGAUUGUAACUGUUCCCUCACCAACAGUUUUCAUGGGAACAAAAUGUCCAUCACAGAUUACAUCUCACAACUCUGAGUCCUCAGCCAUAAUAAAGUCACACAUUCUUGUUUUCCACCAACUAUAGUAUUGGUCGUUGAAUCUUGGUGGUCUGUACGUUGAUUGUCCUUCCUCAAAGUUUGGUGGAACAGCCAUGUAGAUCCUUCCUAGGUGUUAACUUUUUAGAAGAACCUGCUCUGAUACAAUUGAUAGAAACUAAUAGCCUGUUUGGUCAAGCUACAAAAAUCAGCUUAUUUUGAGAAGUGCUUUUUUUCAAAAGUACUUUUGGUGAGAAGCAAUUUGUGUUUGGCUAAUUAGUUUGAAAAGCACUUCUGAGCAGCAAUUGGUGUUUGGACAAGCUUUAAAAUACUAUUUCUAAGUGUAUUUUUCUCAAGAGUGCUUCUCAAANAAGUGCUUUUGGAAAGAAGCUACUUUUUUCUGCUUAUCCAAAACUGCUUCUGAUUCUCCUCAAAAGCACUUUUUUCAUUCCAGAAGCUUGGCCAAACACCUCAAUUUUUGGCCAAAAAGCGCUUUUGGCCAAAAAUAAGCUUGGCCAAACAGGCUAUAAGCAUCCACCAAACUGUAUAGAGAACAAGGUUCUAUAUAUGUUCCCAUAGUAAAUCGGCAGCAAAUAGAGAACAAAAAGGAAUUUUACGUGGAAAAUUCUCAGCUCACGGGAUUAAAAACCACGACCUACCCUUGUAAGAUUUCAACUUCACUACUGAGCAAUCUUCGGAUUACAACCUAUUGUAACCUAGGAAUUAACCUCUUAAUCCCUUACUAACUUGUAACUAUACUAUUACAAGCCACUUUGUAAUAACUCUAUUACAAAGACUUAAUAACUCACUGACUUGUAACAACACUAUUAUAAACAACUUUGUAAUAACUCUAUUACAAAGGCUUCACAACUCAACUAACUCUAGCCAAGACACAAACACAAGGGUUUAUGAUUUACAAAGGAUUUCUCACACAAUGCUUCUAAGUAAGCUAAGUAGGAAUUACAAGUAAGAACUUCAACAAAGAUACAACACAACUAAAAACAUAUAAUAACUCAAUAUGGGGGACUAGUCCGUUGCUAUGUUGUUCUUUGUUCUUGAUGCCCUUGAGAAUCACUUGCAAGAUGGACACACACUUGAGAGAAUGCUUGAUGAGUUCUUGAAUGUUCAAAUAAUUUGUUUUACCUUUGCUUGAUGUUAAUAUCUCAUUUGUGACAUUACUUGGAUGAUGCACUGUUCCUGUACUAUAGCGUGUGCAGGCAGCAACGUUUCAGCUGGAGAGUUGACUUCGUAAAGUCACCUCGGGAACUGGUCGGACCUGGUCCCUCAGUUGUUCCUUCUACUCUGAGGAGUUGAGCCAUAUCCCAAACAAGAUCCCAACUUGGAACCUUGUGAUCUUAAGGUCUUGAGAAUGUUUAAAGCUGUAGAGUUGACUAUACGACAGCCAGGAGAACUGAUCCAUAUAUGUUCCCUCUGUUGUUCUCUUAUCUGAUUUCAUUGAGAAUUGAAUCAGACAUUUGACUAGUUACUCUGAACGCAAGAGAACUAAUUGUAUAAGGUUCCUUAUCUUGUUCUCUCUUGAAGUUUGUCAAAUCAUCAAAACAAAAUGCACAUAACUAGUCAAUUUCCUCCUUUUUGAUGAUGACAAACUUAGAAUUGAUAUUCCCCUUGAGAACCAGAUCUCCACAUUGUUCCCCCUAUGAAUCAGCCAUAUUCCCUAUGAGAACCAGACCAAAGGAACCGAUCACAACUGGUUCUUCAAGAUUGUUUGGCAAAUCAUCAAAACACAAAAUAACAUAGUUUAUCAAUUUCCAAACAAUUUAGAUUCAGUUAAUACUUCCAUUUAAUAAUCGCUAGUUGCUUUAGGUCCUUUUAUAAUAAAUCAUUAUGACUAUGGGUACGAUUCCUGUGGCAUAGUCAUGAUACCUAAUCCCCAAUUCGAGUGUGCGUUUCAACUGACUCGACCAUAACUUCAAAUAAUUAUAAAAAUAAGCAUGUUGUAAAUCGCAGGUGCGUUUCACGUGACGCGAUUCACAAUAUGUCCAAAACCAACGAAUGCGCGCCAUCGCGACUUGUUCAAAUAAAUUUCAUAAAUACUAAAAGAGGUUAAGUAAAUAAUUAAAAGCGGUUAGAAAGUUAAAAAUGCAUAAAAGGUUUUAAACAUGUAAUAAUUCAGAUAAUUAAGCCAAUUAUUAAUAGUUGAGCGACCGUGCUAAAACCACGAAACUCGGGAAUGCCUCACACCUUCUCCCGAGUUAACAAAAUUCCUUACCUGGUCUUUUGGUUUUCACAGACUUUAAAACAGAGUCAAAUUUCUUCUAAUUGGUUAAAAUAAAUCGGUGACUUGGGACACCAUAUAUUAUUCCAAGUGGCGACUCUGAAUCAAUAAAUAAUCUAUUUCGACUAAUGUCACUUUAAUUGGAAAAAUGUCAUAUUCCCUUCGGAAAAAAGGAGGUGUGACGGCUCUGGCGACUCUGCUGGGAACAAGAGCCCAGAAUCUCUGGUUCAGGGUUCAGAAUUCGAGCUUAGAAUAACUAUUAUACUUGGCAUUUGUUUAUUAUUUGACUUUUUACGUGCUUGAGCCUAACGUGCUAAAUGACGCUUUUUACCGCUUUGAUAUUGCUUGAACUGUAUAUAAAACUGUUACGAAACCCUUCUUGUCUCUGAGUCUUCUGAAUCUUCUGGAAAGUGCAUGCUAGCAAAGCCGGUGAAGCUUCUAUUUUCCAGGUACUCUGCCCCCCUCGGCUCGAGUUGUCCGCUCGGGUAAGCCAGGUCUAGAACAAUACACCCCAAGAUUUAAACUUAGAAUAACAUAGCCUCAUGUCGGAUCCCUAGUAGGAACGUUUGUUUGUAUCACGUGCAUUUGACUUUGGGGACUCAACACAGGGGUUGGGUCCGUCUAGGACGUGUACCCAAAUUAAAAAGACCAUCCUGAUGCAUCUUACGUGCUACUUGUGCAUUUAUUUGUUUUGGCUUGCAUGUUGACUGGCUUCUAGGGAAAGAAAAUUUUAAAAAAUAAAAAAUAAAGAGUGAGAGGUAAGUAUUUAAAAUCUGAAACUCUGCCGAAAUUUUGAAAAAGAAAGAGAAAAGAAAAUAAGCCAAUGUUCUCAAAAAGUCAUGUUUCCCUAUUUCAUUAAAACUGGGCCAAACUACGCGGGUCUGAUUCUUACUGGGUGUGAGAUACAUAGGCAAACCUCAUCGGUUCCAGCCCAUAAUUUUAAAAAAUCCAAAAAAAAUUUCCUUUACUUUCUUCUUUAGAAAGUCUUUCUUUUAGACUCUAAUUUUUAAAAAUACAAGAAUAUUUUCUUUUAAUUUCUUCUCAAAAUACAAAAAUAUUUUCGCUCUUCUUUCGAAAAUUGAAAAGAAAAUUCAAGAUUCAAAAAUAUUUUCUUUUUUCUUUAGAAGUAUUUCUUUCAUAAAUUCAAAAUAAAAGUCCAAUAUUCAAAAAUAUUUCCUUUCUUCUUUAGAAGUUUUUCUUUCGAAAUUCCAAAGAAAAACAAACAAAUCAAAAUCCAAAAAUAUUUUUUUCUUCUUUAUAAGUUCUUUUUUUUCGAAAAUUAAAAAUUAUAAAAAAAAUUCAAAAUUCAAAAGCCAAAAAAAAGAGUUAGUUUGUUUAUUUUAUUCCUCAUUUUCCCGUACUAUGCAAGAUCUGCUUCAUGUUUCCACAUGAUACGUAGGCAACCCACAUUAGGUUCGACCAACCAUUAUAAAAAAUGAUGAUGAUAAUAAUGAGGACCGACUGAGUCCAUUCUAACGUGUCUUUUGUUUUGAAUUGUGAACAAAGUUUGAGGUGGUCGGUUUGUCUUAAGCUACAACAUAUCCAUAAUUCACAAGGUCCAAGGGAAAAAUGCCAAUGGCAACUGACAUUGAAGUUGUUACGAGUGGUCAAGAGACUCGGGGGUCAGAGGGUACAACAAGAGUCUAUUGUGAUUGAGGAAAAUAAAAUAUUGAAAUAGUAAAUGACUCAAUUGUGUCAAACAUGGGCCAAUGGUCAAGGACCACACAUUUCUCAUGUUUUCCCAAAGUUCACACCCAUCUCGACUACUACUACUCCGGUCUCAUUGUCUGAUCAAUCCUAUCCAUAUGGGUUCAGUCUUUAUCCCAACUGUACGACUACAGCUGGAACUUCUGUUGCAUACUCCCACAGUGUGCCAUUGACAACCAAUCACACAACCACUGUUGUUAUGCCCCGUCUUUACUAUCCCACAGCCAACAGUGGUACAGAAGAAAAGUCAUGAGUCACAUUUUUCUACCCAACAAGAAUAGUACCACUCGUACCUAUUUGAUCUUCUUGCAAAUAUUGAGAAGCCUACCCGAAAGAUGGCACAGGAAGAAAUAACCCAAAAAAUAAAAAGCUUAGAACAACAGCUGAAAAUCAUAUAAGGGAUGGUAGGUCAUAAGAGUAUUGCCUUCAAGGAUCUAUGUAUGUUCCCCAAUGUCCACUUGCCACCUGGUUUCAAGACCCCCAAAUUCAAAAAGUAUGAUGUACACGACGACCCCAUAGCCCACUUAAAAAGGUAUUUCAAUUAACUAAGAGGUGUGGGAGGAAAUGAAGAAUUACUAAUGGUUUAUUUUGGGGAAAGCCUUACGGGGAUAACCUCUAAAUGGUUUACUAAUCAAAACACCUCUCACUGGCAUGUCUAGGAUAACAUGGCCUAGGCCUUUGUCAAAUAGUUCCAAUACAACAUCAAAAUUGCCCAGACCACAAUCCCUUUCAAACCUGAAGAAGAAACCAACUGAAAGUUUCAGGGAAUAUGCCAUUAAAUGGAGAGAGCAAGCGGCUAGAGUUAAACCACCCAUGCGAGCUAAUCACUGUAUUCCUUCAGGCUUAAGAGCCAGAUUAUUUUCAAAACAUUAUGUCCGCAGUGGGCAAAUCCUUCUCGAAAGCAAUCAAAAUUGGGAAAAUGGUUGAGAAUGGCCUUAAGACGGGCAGAAUUAUAAGUCAAGCAGUUCUGAAAGCCGCAACUCAGUCUGUCCAGAUUGAAUCGGAUAAUUUAUGUGACACGAAUGAGAAAGAUAUAGAAACUAUGAUGACAUCAGAGUCAAAAAGAGCAUCUCGAAGGUAUGACCAGCUUCGCCUGGUUUUCGAUGAUUCCCCUAAGCACUACUAUCUAUCUCAGAACCCACAAUACUCUGUUGCUCCACCUCAGUAUGUUGUCCAGCCACCAAAACACCCAGAAGGAGAGCACGAGCAUCACAAAAUUUCCACCAACCUCUAUAAAAUAUUUAAGUGCCCUAUAACCCACAUCCAAGCCAGGGGUAUAAAGGGAAACAAAGGUUGAAACAUAAUUUUAUACCAAUAGGAGAGUCCUAUACAAGUUUGUUUGAGAAAUUAAAGCAUUAUGACAUGAUUGCACCUAUUCCUCCAAAUUAUAUAGACCCACGUGCAAGAAGCUUUGACCCUUCUAAAAGGUGUGAAUACCAUUCCAAUGCUCAGGGCCACAAUUUUGAAAGUUGUCGGGAUUUGAAAAGAGAAAUAGAAAGGAUGAUCCAAGAAAAAUUGAUUGAAAUUGGAGAAGGCCCUGGUGAUUUUGAUGAUCAAAUUUGUGGCUAAAUGUCAAGCUAGGCAAUUGAAAAGUCAUUCCCUCCUCACUAGCAAGGAAUCUUGGUAGCUUGUUUUGAUAUUUUUUUCUAUGAUCUGGGUUAUUUUAGGGUUGUGAUCCAGAUUUUAUAUAUUUUAUUGAGUCAAACCCUUCCAUCCAUCUAUUUUAUCUGUGUGAGUCUUGUCUGUUUGUUCUAUUGCUAUUUUCAUUAUCUGGUUUAUUUUAGGGUUGUAACUCGGAUUUUAGGUUGUUUGUCUUGUUGUCCAACCUUUCCAUUCUUUACUCAAUGAAAGACAUUUUGUCCUUUUGUGUCAUUCUAUGCUUAAUCCUUUUCCUGCUAGUUCUAGUGACAUGACAUGCAUGCGGAAUUUUUUGCCAGAUCCUAGAAAACUGAUUUACUCUUGAAUUGGAUAACUGAGAAAAAGAUACUUUUGAGGAUGAAUAAAGAGUUGAAAUACCUUAGAAUUAAUCCUGAGUAAAAUUCAAGUGGAACUAGAAUAGUCAUAUCCAUGGAGGUUAAGAAUCUUUACCUUCAAAAUCAUUGUAAAGAUUAGAUUUGAGGAUGUUGAAUCAUUUGAAGUUCGGUGGAAAGUUUGAGAUUAAUGGAUGGAAAGUGUCUUUCGACUACGACACACCAAAAACACAGACAUGUUCAUCAUUGUUGUGAUCGCGAAUGGACACUAUAAUUGGUGUUCUCGAGGCUGGGAGGCCUUUUUUCUGCUAUCCAAAUACUUUAUACCCUUUGUUACCCCUUUUGAGCUUGUAUUAUUUUCUUUGACCACUUUCUUUUGGAAUUAAGUUUCGAGUUAAAAGUUAAAAAAAUGAAUAGAAAAGUCCAUGCCCCAAGAGUACAAACUGGGGCAGCUCUUAGAAAAAAAAACAAUCAAAGGUCCAUGUCCCCAGAAAAGUUGGGGAAACAUGUUUUGAAAACCAACAAAAAAAGACAGAGAAACAGAAAAAAGAUAGUUAGGUCAGAUGUUUGAACUACACUUGACCUGAUUUCUUAAAAAGGAUUAAUAGGCAGCCUUACAUGGUUCGGUCAAACCAAAUAAGAAUUCAUAAAACAAAAUCCAGUAUCUAAAACUGGGGCAUGAGUUUGUUUUAGUUUUUGAAAGAGUCAAUUCCAAGAGUUGUAAGUGUACAACCCAUCAUAUUGAGUCUAUUUUGAGCCUUCAUGUCGUCCUUUCUUUCCAACCAUAUCCAAAAACCUUCCAAAUAAAGCCCUUCUGAUCAGCCUUCAAGAAUUCCAAGAGACGCAUGCAAUGAACAACAAUUGUCACACGACGUAGAACACUAUCAAGUUGCUCACAAAAAAAGAGAAAGAAAAAGAAAAAAAAAUGAGAGAGUCUUACUAAUGAAAACCCUCAUGGGCACUGUAAGGAGAUGGUAAGUAGAGAAAAUAAAUGAGAGAGACUUGUUGGUAAAAAUUCAUCGGGGCACCACUAGUCGAAAGUGAGUCGUGAAGCUGAUGCAAAAAAUUGACAUAAACAAGCCUGACUUCAAAGGUCAUAAGAAUGGUAAAAGGGAAGAUUAGAUUAGUUUGAUAGAUUGGCCGUUAAGUCCAAAAUGCAUGUCAUGAUCAUUAAGGCUAGUUAUUGGAAGAAAAAGAGAAAAAUUCUUCCCUCUUUCCUUCCCGAUAGGGGCAUUUCUUGUUGAUACUGUUUCUUUGCAUCAUUAUGUCCCUUCACUCUGAGUCAGUCCUUGUCAAAACAAGCAAGAAAAUUUUUCAAAAUUUGCUACCAGCUUUUCAGUUGCACAAAGUAAAUUUGGUUAGCACACUCAGUUGUUAUAGUCUACAUGCCUUGAGGAUUCAUGCAAACGCCCCUACCCAAAAGACUCUUUCCAUCCUACUUGGCUAAAGCAAGCAAAGAUAACCUCGAGGUUAAUCAGGGGUUAUCUGUAGUACUGAACAGAGACUAUGAAGUGUGCACAUCAUGCAAAAGACGCACACCUGGUUGCGACUCUCUCUGACAAACAAAUUGCUCAAAAAGCAAGAAGCCAUUCAAGAUAUCAGAAAACGUCACCUAAGAAAAUAUCUCCAGUUGGUGUAAGGCUGAUUGAGCCACAAAUAAAAAUGGUACUGGGUGUGAAACAAUCAGGAUUGAUGCAGAGUAAAAGUCUCUUGAAACCGUCUCAAGUUGAUUGAGCAAAAGUCAAGUUGCCCACGACUCAAAGCCACAAACCAACCACCACUUUCAAAACUGACAAAAUUUUCUUUUUUUUUUGAAACAAGAACAAAGCAGUGCAAGGAAAGUGGUUCAAAAAAAAGAAGAAAAAAAAGAAAAAAGAAAAAAAAAAGAGAAAAAGAAGAGAAGAGAAGAACCAACAAAAGGGAAGUUUCUCAAAUAUUUGCCUUUAUUUGUCUUGCUAGUAUGCAUAAAAUCCUGCCAUCGCUCUUCACAUUUUUUUACUCCUAGGGUAAUACAUCCUAGUUUGAUGGAUUUCCCUUCCAAUAAAAUAUUAGUCUAAUGAAUCUUUCUCCUAAGAUAAGAAAACCUAGUCUGAUGAAUUUUCUCCUAGGAUAGAAAUCUUAGUAUGAUGAAUCUUUCUCCUAAGAUAAAAAGCCCUAGUCUGAUGAAUUUUCUCCUAGGAUAAACAUCUUAGUCUGAUGAAUCUUUCUCUAAGAUAUAAAAAAACCUAGUCUGACGAAUUUUCUCCUAGGAUAGAAAUCUUAGUCUGAUGAAUCUUUCUCCUAAGAUAAUAAAUUAGAAAACCUAGUCUGAUGAACUUUCUCCUAGGAUAGACGUCUUAGUCUGAUGAAUCUUUCUCCUAAGAUAAAUAGAAAAUCUAGUCUGAUGAAUUUUCUCCCUGGAUAAUUAAAAAAAAGUCUGGAUUUUUAAAAAAAAAUAAAGGAUCAAUUUCAGUUUUUAGUUGUUAAUCUUAAGUUCAGGGGUCCCGCCUGGAGAAUAGGAUCAGUUUUUAAUUUCCUUAAGUUAUUAAUCUUUAGCAUUCCUUUUAGUUCAGGGGUCUCGCCUAGAGAAUAGUGUCAGUUUUUAGUUUCCCUAAGUUGUUAGUCAUUAGUUUUUCUUAAAGUUCAGGGGUCCUGCCUAGAGAAUAGGGUCAAUUGUUAGUUUCCUUAAGUUUUCGAUCUCUAGUUUUUCUUUUGUUCAGGGGUCCUGCCUGAAGAAUAUGGUCAGUUUUUAGUUUCUUCAAAUUGUUAGUCUUCCAACAUAGGGUCUCCACUCCCUAGUCUUUUUUUUCAGGGUACACCAAACCCGACCUUUUAUUGCUUUAUAUAAUGAAGUAAUAUAGAGUUUUGGUACCAAUAACUAACGAAAUUUUUCUAGUAAAAACUGGGGCAGAAAAUUUCGUUCGUUCGUUUAUUUUGGGUGCCUGAGCAGGUUAUACCUCGAGGCACAAGGUUCGAGAUGACCAAAAGAAGUCUCAAUCCAAAAUAGAGAAAAGAAAAGGAAAAGAAGUGAAUUCAAAGUGCAGACACAAAGCAAAGAUGUGGACUGCUCAAGACAUGACUGAAGUCACAAGCUUUGCAUGUCCCAUCUUGAUCCGAAAAGCUGAAGAAGAAUGGACAAGCACAUCCAGCUAGCAAGCAUCAAGGUUCAGAUCAGAGUCUGUGUGAAGAACCAACGAAGAAUCGAGAUCAAGCUUCAAAAGACUCAUAGAUAGGAAUCUUGUAACUCGUAGAUAAUAGGCUUAGUUAGUCUUUUUUAUUUUGACUUUGGUAUAAUAAGGAGCUCAGAAAGUAGUAAACAACAGCAACAACGGUGAAAUCACAUCUUAUCGGUAGUCCCAGCUACCAAAAUUUUCAGAACUACACUGACCUGAUUCCUUUAUAGCCAAGGAUAUGUAGGCAACCUCCGGAGCAAGGUUCAGUCAAACUUUUUCAAAAUGCUUCCCAUGGAGUAUCAAACAGGCAAAAAUUGUUCAUGAUUGCUCACUUUAUCUUUGCCCGAAAAGUCUUCAUGUUUCGGAGCAAAGAGGGGUAGCUGUGACACCUGAGUUUUGCCCCACACAGAAAAUUACUCCUAAAAUGUCAAAAAAUAAUUUUAAUCGCUUUUAUAGAAUUUUAGGAAUAUUUCUUGUAUUUAUUUGCAUUGUUCAUGCAUAUUUAGAGUUAUUUUUAGAAAAUCAUAAAAAAAUGUUUAAUUUUUCAUCUCGUAGCAGUUAAAUCUUAAUUGUAUUUAGAAUUUAAUUACAUCAAUUAAAUGCAUUAUCAAAUGAAAAAAAUUCACAAAAUACCAUAGUCCUUUCUACAUUUUAGCUUUUAGUUUUAAAUUAAUAAUUUUCUUUUAUUAGUUUACAUUGUUAAGGUAAUAACUAACUAAUUGGUAGAUAAAAUAGUAAGAUGGUUAAUUUUGCAGUUUUUAGUUUACACAUUAGGUUAGUCUUAUUGUUGGCUAAAAGUGAAAUUUUUAAAAAGAGAAGCCUUUGCUGUUGGAGAUUUAUUAGCUUGAAUUGGGCCAGUUUGAGCCCAUUUUCUGUUAAAUCCAAAUCAUCCCUCCUAGCCCAGACCAAGCCCAAAUUCGGUCCUCCCCUAUUAAACACAAACGACCCUGUUUCGUCUCCCCUUCCCCUCAUCUCUGAAAAAAACCUAAUCCCUUUCAUUUGAGUAAUGGAGAAAAACGGUAGAACAUAGAGACGGAUCUCCCCCCCCCCAAUUGAAAAUCCCUAGCAGCUCACAGACCCCUUUCCCUCGAAGACAACCGGCCGCCACCCCUUUCCCUCUCCUUCUUAUUUCUACUCUCUCUUAUCGUACCUCGUCCAUUCAUUCACUUAUGCUUACUUUGCUUGUUGAAAUCUGAUAUUCGAUUUGUGAAGUUCUCAAAUCAGAACAAAAAUCCAACGAAUUGAUCGUUAAUGGAUGCGCCAACAAGUCCUUGAGCAGCUUGCCCGAUUUAUUUCUUCCUGAGGUUUCUGAAAGUCGUUUUGAGCUGGAGAAUCAAUGUACUGUUGUUUCUGCUAAAAGAGUUGUUUGCUUGAUGAGUUUGGUUGGGCUGUGUUGUUGAGUUUCAACUUUCUCCUAUUUUGUAUUUAUUUGGCUUUCUAAAACUGGUUCUUGCGCAACCAAGUAUUCAUUUAAACUCAUCUUUAUUUUGGCAAACAUGAAUUAAUUCUUCUAUUUCUCCAUAAAAUUUCGACUCAUUGUUGUUUUUACGUAUUUGAAUCUUUUUCUGAGUAGUCUAUCGAUUAAUAGAUAUAAUUUUAUUUAACUUUGGGGUGAUUUGCUUCUGUUUUAUUUGGGGACUUGAAUGUUGAAUAGAGCAGGAUUCUGUUGCUCUGGCUUCUGCUCCUUCAAAUUUC
rnacentral:lncRNA from 1 species